GGAGUAUUGACAGAUCUGGGACCAGCUCUGUCCAGGAGUAUUGACAGAUCUGGGACCUGCUCUGUCCAGGAGUAUUGACAGAUCUGGGACCAGCUCUGUCCAGGAGUAUUGACAGAUCUGGGACCUGCUCUGUCCAGGAGUAUUGACAGAUCUGGGACCUGCUCUGUCCAGGAGUAUUGACAGAUCUGGGACCUGCUCUGUCCAGGAGUAUUGACAGAUCUGGGACCAGCUCUGUCCAGGAGUAUUGACAGAUCUGGGACCAGCUCUGUCCAGGAGUAUUGACAGAUCUGGGACCUGCUCUGUCCAGGAGUAUUGACAGAUCUGGGACCUGCUCUGUCCAGGAGUAUUGACAGAUCUGGGACCUGCUCUGUCCAGGAGUAUUGACAGAUCUGGGACCAGCUCUGUCCAGGAGUAUUGACAGAUCUGGGACCAGCUCUGUCCAGGAGUAUUGACAGAUCUGGGACCAGCUCUGUCCAGGAGUAUUGACAGAUCUGGGACCAGCUCUGUCCAGGAGUAUUGACAGAUCUGGGACCUGCUCUGUCCAGGAGUAUUGACAGAUCUGGGACCGGCUCUGUCCAGGAGUAUUGACAGAUCUGGGACCGGCUCUGUCCAGGAGUAUUGACAGAUCUGGGACCGGCUCUGUCCAGGAGUAUUGACAGAUCUGGGACCGGCUCUGUCCAGGAGUAUUGACAGAUCUGGGACCGGCUCUGUCCAGGAGUAUUGACAGAUCUGGGACCGGCUCUGUCCAGGAGUAUUGACAGAUCUGGGACCGGCUCUGUCCAGGAGUAUUGACAGAUCUGGGACCGGCUCUGACCAGGAGUAUUGACAGAUCUGGGACCGGCUCUGACCAGGAGUAUUGACAGAUCUGGGACCGGCUCUGACCAGGAGUAUUGACAGAUCUGGGACCAGCUCUGACCAGGAGUAUUGACAGAUCUGGGACCGGCUCUGUCCAGGAGUAUUGACAGAUCUGGGACCGGCUCUGUCCAGGAGUAUUGACAGAUCUGGGACCAGCUCUCUGUCUGCUCUCUCUACAGGACUGUUGAUAGGUUUCACAGACAUCAUUGUUUCUCUCUGUGUUCCAGUGUGCUCUCUACAGGACUGUUGAUAGGUUUCACAGACAUAAUUGUUUCUCUCUGUGUUCCAGUGUGCUCUCUACAGGACUGUUGAUAGGUUUCACAGACAUCAUUGUUUCUCUCUGUGUUCCAGUGUUUCACAGACAUCAUUGUUUCUCUCUGUGUUCCAGUGUGCUCUCUACAGGACUGUUGAUAGGUUUCACAGACAUCAUUGUUUCUCUCUGUGUUCCAGUGUGCUCUCUACAGGACUGUUGAUAGGUUUCACAGACAUCAUUGUUUCUCUCUGUGUUCCAGUGUACACUCUACAGGACUGUUGAUAGGUUUCACAGACAUCAUUGUUUCUCUCUGUGUUCCAGUGUGCUCUCUACAGGACUGUUGAUAGGUUUCACAGACAUCAUUGUUUCUCUCUGUGUUCCAGUGUACACUCUACAGGACUGUUGAUAGGUUUCACAGACAUCAUUGUUUCUCUCUGUGUUCCAGUGUGCUCUCUACAGGACUGUUGAUAGGUUUCACAGACAUCAUUGUUUCUCUCUGUG